GACGAACGCUGGCGGCGUGCCUAAUACAUGCAAGUAGAACGCACAGUUUAUACCGUAGCUUGCUCCACCAUAGACUGUGAGUUGCGAACGGGUGAGUAACGCGUAGGUAGCCUGCCUGGUAGCGGGGGAUAACUAUUGGAAACGAUAGCUAAUACCGCAUAAUAUUGAUUAUUGCAUGAUAAUUGAUUGAAAGAUGCUAUUGCAUCACUACCAGAUGGACCUGCGUUGUAUUAGCUAGUAGGUGAGGUAACGGCUCACCUAGGCGACGAUACAUAGCCGACCUGAGAGGGUGAUCGGCCACACUGGGACUGAGACACGGCCCAGACUCCUACGGGAGGCAGCAGUAGGGAAUCUUCGGCAAUGGACGAAAGUCUGACCGAGCAACGCCGCGUGAGUGAAGAAGGUUUUCGGAUCGUAAAGCUCUGUUGUAAGAGAAGAACGGGUGUGAGAGUGGAAAGUUCACACUGUGACGGUAUCUUACCAGAAAGGGACGGCUAACUACGU
rnacentral:rRNA from 1 species